AUUGAACGCUGGCGGCAUGCUUUACACAUGCAAGUCGAACGGUAACAGGUUAAGCUGACGAGUGGCGAACGGGUGAGUAAUGCAUCGGAACGUGCCCGAUCGUGGGGGAUAACGCAGCGAAAGCUGCGCUAAUACCGCAUACGAUCUGAGGAUGAAAGCGGGGGACCGUAAGGCCUCGCGCGAUCGGAGCGGCCGGUGUCAGAUUAGGUAGUUGGUGGGGUAAAGGCCCACCAAGCCGACGAUCUGUAGCUGGUCUGAGAGGGCGACCAGCCACACUGGGACUGAGACACGGCCCAGACUCCUACGGGAGGCAGCAGUGGGGAAUUUUGGACAAUGAGCGAAAGCCUGAUCCAGCAAUGCCGCGUGCAGGAGGAAGGCCUUCGGGUUGUAAACUGCUUUUGUACGGAGCGAAAAGGUCCUUUCUAAUACAAGGGGCUCAUGACGGUACCGUAAGAAUAAGCACCGGCUAACUACGUGCCAGCCGCCGCCGUAACAC
rnacentral:rRNA from 1 species